CAAUAAGAAUGAUGAGCUGUCUUGGAGGAUUGACAGAAAUGGGGUUGCUGAGCUGAAAGAAGAGAGCACUGAGGAGGGAGAUGGCAAUAACCCUCAGAUGUAAAAAUGCACUGCGGCAAAGAGGAAGGGAGUAAUCUGCUAACCACACUUACGUUGGAUGCAACAAAAGCACUUAGCCAACAGGUACCGGCAAAAAAAAAAAUGGCAUGAAGACAAGACUGGAGCAUAACAGAUAUUUGCUUAAGUAUGAAGAGGACUUGAACUGAACUCUGAGACAUGAGCUAUCCCAUGUGUCACAGAGAGUAUUCAUACAGAAAUCAAUGGCAUUACCAAUACGUCAGUAUUAGAGACUCACUGAAAGAAGGGUGGAAGGACAGUCUCAAGAUUUGGAAGACUAGGUCUGUUUCAUGACAUGAAUGGGUGCAUUUAUGAGAGUGCUACCAUGUAAUUAUAUAAUUAUAUAUAUGUAAAUUUAACUUACUUGGGAAAGAGACAAGUCCUGUGUGCACAAUGUAGUCUGUAAGUAUAUUUGGGCUUCAAUAAAGAGAGCUAACAUAGGCAGUAUGUGGUAUUGAAUAUGCAGGUUGUGUAUUUCAAAUCUGCAUAGCCUACUAGGAUCAGGUAUCUGCAUCUCAUCUCAGUAGGUCAAAUUACUUAUGAGAAUACAAUGAAAACCAUCAGUUUUCUUUUCACCCUCUGGUACACUAUCGUUAAAUCAGAUAUUGUAAUAUCAAUAUCUAGGAAUUAACUUACAUAUUGUUUAAAAAUGGGAGAUCUCUGAAUAAAUGCUUGUUCUUUCUUCAUACCUAAUUGGCUUCUGUGAAGUGGUAGCAUACACUGACAUUUCUUAGCUGUGUAAUUCAGACAGGCAAGCUGUUUCAGUCCAUAAAACCCCAAAGCUAUGAGACCACUGAUCUAGUGAAGCUGACUUUAUAGAAUCAUAGAACCAUUAAGGCUGGAAAAGACAACUAAGAUCAUCCAGUCCAACCAUCAACCCGCCACCACUAUGCCCACUAGCCAUGUCUCUCAGUGCCACAUCUACACUUUUCUUGAAAACUUCCAGGGAUGGUGACUCCACCACCACCCUGUGAAGCCUGUUCCAAUGCAUUAUCACUCCUUCUGGGAGAAAUUUUUCUUAAUAUCCAACCUGAACCUCCUCUGGUCCAACUUUCAUAACUUUAAGGUAGCUUACUCAAGUCAGGCAGCAAAUCGCAACACAGUAAGGCAAAAGCAGUCUAGAAUGCCAGUGAGUUCUCCAAUUCCAGUGAGUGGUAGUUCUCAACUUACAGCCACAAGAGAGGGGAAAGUGCUUUUGUAAGUGGCUUCAAGUUGUCUUUCUUCUUUGCAGGAAGAUGGCAAGGACUGGAAAACAAAGUUAAACUUUCACAUACUUGCAACUUUUACUAUGAAAUAGGAAACUUCCUUUUCUUGAGAUGUAAAUUCACUGCGUAAUGGGCCA
rnacentral:lncRNA from 1 species